UUCUCAUCCUGGUCAUCCUCACAAACUACUCAAUGGACUUCUUCAUCUGCCAUGGACUUAAAACCUAUGGAGCAUGGCUCAACAAAUACCACAAGGUGGACCUGUGGCUUCUGCGUAUCAUUGUUCAGAAUGGAAUUACGAUUUACACAACCUGGACAACGCUUGCAACCCUCAUCAACCUGGCUAUUGUUCUCCAAUAUGAAGCUGAAUUGUCUUCAACCUGUCUGCAACCGUGUCAUACUCAAUCCUGGCCUGUGUGUUACUUGUGUGGACUGAAACUCCCGUGGUCCAACAAGAAACAUCCGAAAAUCAAUAAAAGUCCCUAUCAACAAAAACAGAAAGUGGGCCAAGUUCAGAAGAGUCCAAGAGCCUGAGCAUCGAGAAAACACCUGUGAAGACAUCGCAUCUAGGAAGAGAAACAACUCCCUUUCUACAGAAACUCAAAGAAGUUGGACAGACCAAAAUGACAAGGUCGAGGAAGCAGUUGACACCUGUGAAAAUACCACCACAGCCCAGACCUGAGCCUGAUGAUGAUUUUUUGAUUCUGGAUCUAGAUGAUCCACUUUGGAUUACCAUCCCAAAGAAAAACACAGCACAGUUGAAAGAAGGAGUUCGCCAGAGACUGCACCAAAGGAAGAGGCCCCUAAGGCGGUCAUGCAUAGUCUGAAAAGGAAGGAAAAAUUGUCAGAGGCAAUCUACUCCAGUGGAAAGUGUUGAUGAUGUUAUUGUUAACAAUGACAAACCAAAUAAGAAGCAAAAACAACCCCUCAUGAAGACGUCCUCUAAAGAGACUAAAACAGUGGAAGAUCCCGUUGGUGGCAAGCGAGACAAAGUGCACUCCCCAGAGACCAAGAAAUUAGCUAAAAUGAAAGUGACACACACAAAUGAGUCAUUGACAAAGACACGGAAAGAAAAACACACAUUUGAAGGAGAAAAAAAUGUCUCUGACGACGCUGUGGAAAACAAUCAUGAUCCACAGAGUGGCAUGCAUCGAGAAGACCUGGAUUCUGUUCGGAGGAGGAGCUCAUGAUAUCCCCGACAAACAAAGGUGGAAGACCAACCAAGUCAUCUGCUCCAGAUGGAAAUCACAUUGAGAG